rnacentral:rRNA from 1 species
AGUACGAGAGGACCGGGUCGUACGUACCGCUGGUGUAUCAGUUGUGCCGCCAGGUGCAAUGCUGAGUAGCUAUGUACGGACAGGAUAAACGCUGAAAGCAUCUAAGCGUGAAACCUUCCUCAAGAUGAGUUUACUUUUAAGGGCCGUCAAAGACUAUGACGUUGAUAGGCUAUAGGUGUAAAGCUGGUAACAGCAAAGCCAAGUAGUACUAAUUGCCCGUACGCUUUAAUUUU